CCGGAUUUACUGGGCGUAAAGGGUGCGUAGGCGGUCUUUCAAGUCAGGAGUGAAAGGCUACGGCUCAACCGUAGUAAGCUCUUGAAACUGGGGGACUUGAGUGCAGGAGAGGAGAGUGGAAUUCCUAGUGUAGCGGUGAAAUGCGUAGAUAUUAGGAGGAACACCAGUUGCGAAGGCGGCUCUCUGGACUGUAACUGACGCUGAGGCACGAAAGCGUGGGGAGCAAACAGGAUUAGAUACCCUGGUAGUCCACGCUGUAAACGAUGAGUACUAGGUGUCGGGGGUUACCCCCUUCGGUGCCGCAGCUAACGCAUUAAG
rnacentral:rRNA from 1 species